GCUUUCAAAGGCGGUGAAUAGCAUCACCGACGUAUGGUACAGGAUGCAGACAUUACCAAACCAAUAUCGCGUAUAUAUACCUAAUUACGCCGUGGUUAAAGUACCAAGCGUAUUAAAAUAACUCUCAUGACAAAGGAAUAAGGCCACAUUUUUUAUUUAAACACAAGAAACCUCCUUUGGAUGUUUUUACUAUUAUAAAUUAAAAGGGGAAAAGGAACUAACAACCCAUCUUUUGUUGAGCAGUUAAAAGGUUUGACGUCAUAGUCUUACUCGCUUUGGAAUUCUCCAGUCUAUUUUCAGACUUGGAGAGCAUAUUAAAUUGGGAAGCAGUAGAUUAAUAACAGUAGGAAACAACAGCAUACAGAAAUUAUAGGUCGAGAUGCCAGAGAAAAGAAAACAAAAUGACAUCAAGCAAUAUCUUUGCCAUUUGUAAAAUAUUGAAAUGUUUGAGUUCGUGGAAGCAUCACCUCUGCAUUAGAGUACGCCACUGUCACAAAUGCCCACUCGACCAUUAUUUUGAUAACCGUGAAUUUACAAAACAGAACAAAUAAAAAUGAUUUCAUAAUUUACUUCCAGCGUCCUUGUCGUAACUUGUAAUUAAAGUUUUAUUUAUACAACGAACUAGUUA